rnacentral:rRNA from 1 species
AUUGAACGCUGGCGGCAUGCCUUACACAUGCAAGUCGAACGGCAGCGCGGACUUCGGUCUGGCGGCGAGUGGCGAACGGGUGAGUAAUACAUCGGAACGUACCCUGUUGUGGGGGAUAACUAGUCGAAAGAUUAGCUAAUACCGCAUACGACCUGAGGGUGAAAGUGGGGGACCGCAAGGCCUCACGCAGCAGGAGCGGCCGAUGUCUGAUUAGCUAGUUGGUGGGGUAAAGGCCCACCAAGGCGACGAUCAGUAGCUAGUCUGAGAGGACGAUCAGCCACACUGGGACUGAGACACGGCCCAGACUCCUACGGGAGGCAGCAGUGGGGAAUUUUGGACAAUGGGGGCAACCCUGAUCCAGCAAUGCCGCGUGUGUGAAGAAGGCCUUCGGGUUGUAAAGCACUUUUGUCCGGAAGGAAAUCGCGCUGGUUAAUACCUGGCGUGGAUGACGGUACCGGAAGAAUAAGCACCGGCUAACUACGUG